UCAUCUUUUAUUUUUGUUUUCGGUUUGCUUUUUUUUUUUUUUUUUUUGGUUGAACAUGUUGAUAAUGAUUUAAAAGCACAGGGUGAACAUGUUAAGAACAGGGUGAUUAGUUUCAAUUUUAAGAGAUCUGGAAGAACGAUUAGUAAAUGUUUCCACAGAGUGUUUAAAAGCAAUUAUUCGGUGUCAAAAAGAAUUUUGGAAAAACCCAGAACCAGUUUUGGAGAACUCAACUGACCCUAAAUGAAAGUGGUUUAAGAAUUGUUUGGGAGCAUUGGAUGGAACGUAUGUAAGAGUUCGUGUGCCAGAGGCAGACAAAUCAAGAUAUAGAACAAGAAAAAAUGAGAUUGCUACUAAUGUCUUAGGAGUUUGUUUACAAGACAUGCAAUUUAUAUAUGUCCUACCGGGAUGGGAAGGUUCAACGCACGAUAUGCGUGUGUUAAGGGACGCAGUGACUAGAAGAAAUGGUUUAAAGGUUCCUCACGGUUAUUACUACUUGGUAGAUGGUGGUUAUAGUAAUGGGACCAGUUUUCUUGCACCAUUUAGAGGAUGACGUUACCAUUUAAGUGAGUUUAACAAUAGAAACCAACCAACUUCGGCGGAAGAGUUUCAACAUGAAGCACUUGAGUGCUAGGAAUGUUAUUGAGCGAUGCUUUGGAUUAUUGAAAAUGCGAUGGGUUAUACUAAGAAGUCAUUGCUUUUAUGACAUAAAAAUACAGCAAUAAAUAAUUUUUGUAUGUUGUAUGUUACAUAACUUUAUUCGAAGAGAAAUGGCUUAUAACCCUAUGGACAUUGUGUACGAUAAUGAUCCAGCACAACAAUUGAACAAUGAGACGGAGUUUAUCGAUUCCAUUGAAACAUCUACCGAGUGUACUACAUGGAGACAAAAUUUGGCACAAGAGAUGUGGACUGAAUGGCGAGCAAG